GAUGAACGCUGGCGGCGUGCCUAAUACAUGCAAGUCGAGCGAACAGACGAGGAGCUUGCUCCUCUGACGUUAGCGGCGGACGGGUGAGUAACACGUGGAUAACCUACCUAUAAGACUGGGAUAACUUCGGGAAACCGGAGCUAAUACCGGAUAAUAUAUUGAACCGCAUGGUUCAAUAGUGAAAGACGGUUUUGCUGUCACUUAUAGAUGGAUCCGCGCCGCAUUAGGUAGUUGGUAAGGUAACGGCUUACCAAGGCAACGAUGCGUAGCCGACCUGAGAGGGUGAUAGGCCACCCUGGAACUGAGACACGGUCAAGACUCCUACGGGAGGCAGCAGUAGGGAAUCUUCCGCAAUGGGCGAAAGCCUGACGGAGCAACGCCGCGUGAGUGAUGAAGGUCUUCGGAUCGUAAAACUCUGUUAUUAGGGAAGAACAAAUGUGUAAGUAACUAUGCACGUCUUGACGGUACCUAAUCAGAAAGCAACGGCUAACUACGUG
rnacentral:rRNA from 1 species